CUAAAGAAUGUGGAGAUCAAGUGAAUAAUAGGACAUCUUGCUGCAGUGCCAUGGAGAGUUAUAUGUCUCACUUGCAAGAGCAAAGCUUUAUUACUAACCUGCAAGCAGUAAACUGUGCUUCCUUGCAGUGUGUUAAAAUAUCCAGCAAUGUAUACAGUCUCUACUAUAUAAAGCUGAAGGACUUUUCACCUCAAGAAUCUGGUUGCCUCAUUCCUAGCUUGCCUUGGGAUGUAACAUUUAAUGAAAGUUCAGGAAUUUGAUUCCUUUGUGAUCUCAAUGAAAAUGUUGCAGCUCCUUGGCCUUCUGGUCCUAUUGUUUCUGCUUCUUCUUCCGGCAAUAAAACCAGCACAAGUAGUAUACUACCAAAAAUACCCACUGCAGCAUCUGCUCAAAUAGGACUGUGGAUUAGCAAGUUGAUGCUUGCUUUACUGGCCACCUCAAACAUUCUCUGAUUUUUCGAAACAAAAGUUAAUACCAUAUCAGAUGACAUAUACAUGUGCAUGGCUCUUGCAAGAGAAAACUCCUGAUACAUUUGUUUCUGAAAAAGAUAAAAAAUCAUUCCAUACAAGUUUGAUAUGUUCAUAGAUAAUUGCUGCCAAAGAAGCAGACAUAAAAGGCUCAAGUCACACAGAAAAGUUGAUGUGCAAGCUUCUUCUAUUCAUUUAUUCUAAAUGUAGAUACUUAACUCCGUAAGGGAUUUGAAUGUUA